UAUUAUCUUGGUCUACUUUGUCAUCCAC
rnacentral:sRNA from 1 species